AGUGAACGCUGGCGGUAGGCCUAACACAUGCAAGUCGAACGGCAGCACAGUAAGCGCUUGCUCUUACGGGUGGCGAGUGGCGGACGGGUGAGGAAUACAUCGGAAUCUACUUUUUCGUGGGGGAUAACGUAGGGAAACUUACGCUACUACCGCAUACGUCCUACGGGUGAAAGCAGGGGUUCUACGGACCUUGCGCGAUAGAUUGAGCCGAUGUCGGAUUAGCUAGUUGGCGGGGUAAAGGCCCACCAAGGCAACGAUACGUAGCUGGUCUGAGAGGAUGAUCAGCCACACUGGAACUGAGACACGGUCCAGACUCCUACGGGAGGCAGCAGUGGGGAAUAUUGGACAAUGGGCGCAAGCCUGAUCCAGCCAUACCGCGUGGGUGAAGAAGGCCUUCGGAUUGUAAAACCCUUUUGUUGGGAAAGAAAAGCAGCAGGUUAAAACCCGGCUGUUCUGACGGUACCCAAAGAAUAAGCACCGGCUAACUUCGUG
rnacentral:rRNA from 1 species